rnacentral:rRNA from 1 species
UACGGAGGGUGCAAGCAUUGAUCGGAAUUACUGGGCGUAAAGGGCGCGUAGGCGGUAGGAUAAGUCGGAUGUGAAAUUCCGGGGCUCAACCCCGGAGCUGCAUUUGAAACUAUCUCACUUGAGUACAGUUAGGGUAAACGGAAUUCCACGUGUAGCGGUGAAAUGCGUAGAUAUGUGGAAGAACACCGGUGGUGAAGACGGUUUACUGGGCUGAAACUGACGCUGAGGCGCGAAAGCAUGGGGAGCAAACAGG